AUGCAUACUUCAUCUUUUGUGACCCAUUAUAUAAACGAGCUGGAGCAGAUAACUAAACCGGAGGAGCCUCAUAACACAACAGGGGCCCGAACUGAAGGACCAAGGAGCUGGCUAGCUUCACUUGUUGGGGCGGCAAAAAUAAAUGUUGAUGGAGCUGUGGGGCGCCAUAGACGGGGUGGGGCUGUUUCAGCUGUGUGUCGAGACCGCAAAGGAUUAUAUAUGGGCUCCUCGGCGGUGGUUUAUCGAGGCAUCACUGAUCCCACAAUCUUGGAAACAUUUGCAUGCAGGGACGCGUUAGCACUUGCAGAUGAUCUACAGGAAACAAAUUUGAUAGUUGCUUCGGACUGCCAAGGAGUGGUGAUUGACAUAAACCAAGGGACAGGAGGUCCGCACCCGGCUAUUAUACAUGAAAUAAUGGGCUGGAAAGAUACAUUUACUUCAGUCUUUUUUGUUCAUGAGCGUAGAAAUCACAAUUUCAAGGUUCAUAAUCUCACUAAGUUUUCAUGUAAUUUAGAGGUAGGUCGGCAUGUUUGGUUGGGAACACCUCAUGACCAACGCCUUGUACCUAUGAACAUUGCUAUUAUUCAAUAA
rnacentral:rRNA from 1 species